UGAAAAACGAUGAACAGGAGAGUAAAUAACCAACGUUUUCUCUAGCGAGCCGGGGAUGGUGGAAGCCUGGCGAAAACGGGUUAUUGAAGAUCACCUGGGAGUUGGCCCACUGAACGUGGAGUAGGUGUGGCCGGAGUGAUUCACCUUACGAAUCCAGAGUGAACGCAAUGCUUUAGAGGUCUUAUUUGUUUUUUUUCUUGUGUGAUGUGAUGGGGAGGAUUGCGUUUACUAGGGUGGUACCGCGAGAAGCCUCUCGUCCCUAGA
rnacentral:ncRNA from 1 species